GGCUGGAAUAUUUGUCUGUGUAUGUAUUGAAAGAAGUAAAAUGAGUGUUAUAAAAUCAAUUUUUGAGUUUAAGUAAGUGUUAGAGAAAUAUAAGUUUGAGACGAUAGUUAAGAAGUACUGUAAAGGGAUGGUUAAGAGUGGUUGGUAAGUUAUGGUAGUAAAUUUAAAUUAUUGUACCUUGUGUAUCAGGGAAAAUUGAAAUUUAAUCAAAAAUAGUGAAGGUCCCGAAGUAAGAACAGCUAAUUUUAUAAGAGAGUCUUUGUUACAAAAAGGUUUUUAAUAUGAAGUUAAAGGUGAGAUGCCAUUCGAGUUUUAGUAUAUCUGGUUUUUCGAGAAAUAAAUAUAAUUUAGGACCCGGGCGAGUAAUUGGUUUGGGGGCUAAGAGUGGAAGGGGUAAGCUUUUCAUUUUGUAAUAAUAAUUAAUAGUUGAGUAAUUAUAAUUUCUUUUUUCUAGGCUUAAGAGUAGCUAUGAGGGAGCAAAGUGUUUUAACUGAGAGGAGUGAGUAAAAUUAUUUAUUUUAACUUUAAUAGGUAUUGAGGCAUUUAUUUGAUUUUAUUAUAUUAAGGGAUAAUGAUUUUAUUAGUAGAAUAGGCGAUAGUUGUGAGAAAGAAAAUUUUAAAUGAUGAUUGGAGUUUUAAGGGUUUGGUGUAUAGUUUAGGAAUUCGGCAAAUGGAUUCUUUGCCUGUUUAUCAAAAACAUGUCCGUUUGGAGUUAUAAAUGGUCUGGCCUGCUCACUGACAUAGUAAGAGUGUUUAAGAGCCGCGGUAUCUUGACCGUGCAAAGGUAGCAUAAUCAUUAGCUUUUUAAUUGGAAGCUUGUAUGAAGGGUCGUACAAAAGAAUAGCUGUCUUUACUAUAAAUAUUGAAUUUAACUUUUAAGUGAAAAGGCUUAAAUGUUCUAGGGGGACGAUAAGACCCUAUAAAGCUUUACAUAUGAGUUUAAUUUAAUUGAAUUGGUUAAUAAGAGUUAUAAUUUAACUAUUAUGUUUUAUUGGGGCGAUAGAGGUAUAAUUAAUAUUAACUGCUUAAGAGUGGGCCAUGGAUUUGUGAGAUGAAAGGAAAUGAUCCUUUAUAAAGAUUAAAAGACUAAGUUACUUUAGGGAUAACAGCGUUAUUCUUUUUGAGAGUUCAUAUCGAAAAAAGAGUUUGCGACCUCGAUGUUGAAUUAAAAUACCUGCAGGGUGCAGCAGUUCUGUAAGGAAGUCUGUUCGACUUUUAAAUUUUUACAUGAUUUGAGUUCAGACCGGCGUGAGCCAGGUCGGUUUCUAUCUCCUAGUUAGUGUAAUUCAUUUUAGUACGAAAGGAUUGAAUGAAUUUAAAAGUUAAUUAGUAUGAA
rnacentral:rRNA from 1 species